GUUAUCCACGUGCUCGGAUUCCAAAUAUUGGGACAAAUUGGGUAUGAAAUUAACAUUGCUUCUCACUGAGAUGGUAUAAACCCAUACAGCCAAGACAAUUGCGAGGAAAUUACAUAAAUCACAGACCGAAAUAAUGGAUACUUCCGAACGGCGGUAUACAAGCUGGUUGAAAUGUUGGUUUCUCUUAUCCGUCCAACUCUUUGGCGCAUGCGCAAAUCAUUGCCAGCCUCCAACAAACAGCAAACCAAGAUACUUGAGGAACCACGUGAUGCGUCACUGCAGGGGACUGGGGCCGAAGGAUGUAUUUGGACCUGCUUACGAACACAGGGCAGCAGGAGCGUCAACCUGCACAUUGAGCGUGACAUAUGCGAACUGAACAGCGGUAACAAGAAUGAUUACCCAGAGGAUAUGGUUGAGAUGCCCGGCUUCGUGUAUAUUGCUAAUAGCCAGGUUCCUGCAAGGGUAUGUGCUGAUGCUGAUGAUGGCUUAAUGAUUACGAUGAUGUUGAAGAUUAUGAUGUUGACAAUUACGAUGAAGCUGAUGAUGAUUACGAUAAAGCUAAUGAUGAUGAUUACUCUGAUGCUGAUUAUGAUGAAGAUGAUUCCAAUGAAGCUGGUGAUGAUGACUAUGAUUUUGAUGAUUUUUAUUAUUAUGAUUAUGCUGAUUCUAUGAUUGUGAUGUUGAUGAUUAUGAUGAAAAUCAUUUAUAAUAAACAACUGUAGAAAAAGCACUUUUCAAACUCAAAAGAGAAAUGGGCAACAACUUCAGAACAAAUGUCCUGAUGACCAACCGCCUUUUUGACUGCCUCAUUAAGCCAAUCCUUCUAUAUGGCAGCGAAAUCUGGGGCGUCGAUGAAAUAAAAAACGAACGUGACCCAAUAGAGCUGGUGCACGCCAAAUUUUGUAAGUUUAUCCUCGGUGUCGGCAAGUAUGCUCCAAAUAUACCUGUCGGGCAGAACUAGGAAGAUAUCCUCUGUCCAUAGAUGCGAAAUUAAGGGUAUUGAGUUUUCAUAACAAACGAUCCGCAGCCCACAGCAAUCUCUUAUCACAUGAUGCAUAUUUGGACUGCACCCCCGGAAACUACACUUCCAACUGGUAUGUUAAAGACAAAGCCAUGGUGUCUUCGAUGGGACUAGGUUAUCUCUGGGGAAACUUUUAAGUAAUUGAGAAAAAAGCGCAGCAAUAUUUGUUUAAGCAAAGGCUUCAAGACAUUGAAUUCCAAAAUUUGGAAGCUGAGAUUUUUAAUGAUUCAAAAAAGCCCGGACAAAAGAACAAACUUAGAACCUACCGUAAGUUUAAGACAAAAUAUGACAAGGAAACGUACCUAGUUAAUGUUCAAAACAUCAAGCAUAGAGAAGAGUUGACACGCCUAAGAAUAAGUUGUAAUAAGUUAGAAAUAGAGGCUGGACGGUACUCCAGACCAUACCGCAGCCCGGAGGAGAGACUCUGCCGGCAAUGCGACCUCAACGAAACAGAAGAUGAGUGGCACUUCCUGCUGAGGUGUCCCAUCUAUGAUGACCUUAGGAGAGAAAUGCUUGAUGUUCUGGAAAAAGACAAAAUUACAUUCCACAACAAGGAACAGCUUUUUCAUCUACUCUUAGACCCGCCAAAAAAGGUGCAAAAGGCUGUUGCGAAGCACAUUUUUCUGUGUAUUUGAGAAAAGGAAAUAUAAUAAGGAAAGGAAGUAUAGAAAUUUAUUGGUUGAAACAACCUAUGUAACGUUAUGUAAAGUUAUAUGGUACCAAUAAACAUCAUCAUCAUC